CAGGGAUUAGAGCACUCAUCCAACCUUGAGCAGUUCUUUUCAUCCCUCCCCUGUUGGGGACCACACAACCCCACACUGAAAUCAAUAAGGCUCCUUCAGUCCCUGCUUGGAGUUCUUCAAAUUGAAAAACCCAUCCAAAAGGUGAAAAUUAGCAAAAUAAAUUAAAAAAAAAAAAAAAAGAAAGAAAAAAAAUCAAGAUCUGGCAUUAAGCCAGGUUAAAUUGAAGUAUUCCAAACUUAUGCAGGUAUCAAAGGAAAAGGGAGAAAAUUCAGGUUGAGAAUGAGGGGUACAGAAAGCCCUGAUUAGGAAAGUGGCACUGUGGGCCUGAUGAAGGAAUGAGAGGGGACAGCCUGGAGUUAAACAUCAAAGUACAGACAGUUCACAAAGCGAUCGGUGUAAAGGACAUUAAUCAAGUUGGCGCCAAGAGGUCUAUUCACAAUAUCUCCUCCCUAACAAGGACCACUCCUUUUGGAUGGAGAAAUCUUCCAUGAUGUUGCUGGGAUGGGAUCCACCUGGCUCUGAUUCAACCUCUUCCCUGCCUUGCAGCCAGCAAAGUCCUCUGAAGCUCCAGGAAGAGAAAAUUGGGGCUGAA
rnacentral:lncRNA from 1 species